rnacentral:lncRNA from 1 species
UUCAACCCCUAAUUUCUCGCUCAUGUUUUUUUUUUUCAAAGUAUAUAUAGUCUCUCAAUCUACCUUUUCUUCUUCAUCGAUCCCUUCUUUCUAUCUUCUUUUUCUUCAAUAUCAUCUCUUACAUUAAUUUAUCAUAAUGGCUUACCAAUCUCUUGCUUUCUUGGCUCUCAUCAUUGUCGCUGUCACCGGUGUUGUUGCUCAGGGUCCUACCUCCUCCACUCCAGCUCCCACCACCUCCUCCACUCCAGCUCCCACCACCUCCUCAUUUGAUUCCUCCACUCCCUCGUCUUCAUCUUCACUUGAUUCAACCACCACCACGACCACCACCUCCUCCUCCUCCUCAGGUUCCUCUACUGGUUCUCCAUCAAUAUCAGUGGCUCCCGGAUUGGCACCCGAUUCCUAUGCUCAAUCACCAACGACCGCGGCAUCUCCCACCGGUUCUUCUGCUGAGACUUCUCGCUUCUUUACAAAUGGUUUUUUUGGUUGACAGAUUUACAGAGAGGAGAUUCAAAUCUCCAACUUUUGAUAGACACUAAUACUAUUUUAAUCAUUUGAGCUAUGCUCCUCGUGACAACGUAGAGUCACAAUUUUACUUUUCUCUUUUAUUAAGUUUCGUUUCAAUCCGAUAAAAUAAAUAAAAAGAAUUUUCAUUUAUUGCUGUCCAAGUAUCUUUAAUUCCAAUGUUUAGAUUUGGACUCGAUACACGUAUUAGCAAUUUUAGCUUUACGAGACAAACGUCACAAACAUUUUUCAAACUCAUUAUUAGGCAUACUUGAAUCAAAUUUGCCCAACGACCUGAUCUAUUUAAUUGUUUUCCAAAUUAUAUGGUGUCUCACAUUCUCAAAAUCUUAAGCCUUAGAUAUCACUAGGCCACAAACUUGUUAAAAAACUAACCCUUGUUUAAAAGCCAUGUCAUAAACCAAGGAAAAACCACGGUGAUAGAAACAAUUCUAAAUAAAUUUUAUGCUAGUGUUCCAAAACUUCCAAAAUCCCUAUUGGGUUUUAGAAAACGCUUCUAUCCCUCAAAAGAAAGAGAGAACUUUCCCAUAUAAGAACAUCAGGAUGAAAAAGUGGAGAUCAAUAGAUUUCCUGUUGUCAAAGAAAAUGUGAAUUGUUGAGAAUUCAUGAGUUCAGUGCCAAGCACCUCCAAUCUUCGGAGUGAGUAGUACCUAAUUGAAACAGAUCAAAUUCUCUAAGAAUUAAAUCUGUUAAAUUAGAUCAAGGAAUACCAAACAUUGUUUAGGAAUAAAACUUGCCAGAUUUUCUCCAACUCAAAGCGAAAUGGAUACAAGUGAUCAAUUAAAUGUAGUUAUUUCAGAGUCAAAGUUCAAGCUUGACGGAGCGAAUCCCUUCGAAAGGAAUUUAUGUCUAAAGCAAACCGUACUGAAAGAAUUGUCUUUUCCAAAAACUACUUUGAAACUGAAAAGAAUUUGUUCCGAUCAAGAAAAGUAUUUUAAGACUCUUGAAAAACAUAUCACAUUUUUUAGAUGGUUCAACCAAAGGAAAGACUCUAACCAUCUUUGUACAAUCAAAGAAAAAAAUAUUGAAAAACUCAAAGUGGAAAAAUCAAAGUUGAUUAUCUUCAAAUGGAAGAUGUUGAGUUCAAAAAAGCUUCUAUAAUCAAAACGUUAUAGUAAAACCCUCUCAAAUAAUUAAGGAAUUCGAAGAGCACAAGGCUCCCACAAGUAAGGAAAUAAAAAACAUCCGAGUUUAAAAUAAUCAUUCUAGCAUAAUGCUUUCUUCAAUUGCAAACCUAAUCCAAGCUAGAGGAAAUUAUAAAUCAAAUCCUCCUACUCUUGAAGAAACUCCUAACCUUUUCCAACCUUUAGAAAAAGUUAAUAUAAAAGCCAAAAACAAAAACUUUUUGAAGAAAUUAAUAGUCGCCUAAGCAACUUAAAGGGAGAGAGUUCAAUCAAUGUUCUCUAUGAAGAUGAUGUAACUCAAUUUAUGGAAGAUUUCAAAAACCUCCCUGUUAAUAAAGAAGAAAAACAAAUCAAUAAAAUAAAUUUAUGACAUAUUAAAUAGUAUGUUAACUUGUUCUCCUUGCUUAUGAAUCCAAUGAUCUUUCAAAUGGAGAAGUUGCUAAACUACUAAUCAAUGGGUUUAGUAGAAACCUAAAAAUUAUGGCGGGGUCAUGCCAUAACCAAUGAACAAAAAGAACCAAAUAGAAAUCAUAGGACGAAGUUAAAAGGACAAUUAAAACUGAAGUUAGAACUUCAACAACUCAAGAGGUAGAAGAAGAAUGAGAGGACGUUGUUGAAACUCUUCUUUGUACAAUUAACAGACAUUUCAGGUCUAGGAAAGGACAUUGACAUAGAAAACCAAAGAAAAAUAAUCAAAAACCUAAAAUGCUUUUCUUAAUAUGGAUUUAAGAAAGUAAAAGAAUCGAGAUCUUCAUAAAAAAAGAAAUCAUUUAAAAAACUAUAAUAUGAGACCCACAUAUUAUAAAAAAUCUAGAAGAUAUAACAAGCCUAAUACGAGUAAGAGGUAUCACAAACAUUCAAAUUACAAAUGACCAGUUGAAAAAUAGUAAAAAGAAGCUCAAAGAUCUUUUUGUUACAAAUGCUAAAAGGAAGGACAUUAUACCAAUAGGGGUUCACAAAAAAGAAUUCAUGAGAUAAAUGAAGAAAAAUAUACUUUAGAUUUCUCUUAUAUAUAUGACUUUCAAUUGCAAGAAAUGGCAGAUAACAAAUUCAGAAAUUUCAAAUAAAUCUUCCUUAGACAAGGAACCAAAAGCAUGUGUUGCUGUAUUAUUUAAGAUGAUACAUGUUUUAAAAAAAAAAUCUCAAAUAAAGAAAAAUAACACUUAAGAAGAUGUAGAUUUAGGAAAAUAUUUUUUAAAUGAACUAAAUUCUGAAGUGAAUCUAACUUCAAGAAUAACUUUUCAAAAAUAGUACUGUUUAAUAACUCUAAAAAUAAAAUAUUUAAAAUUUAUUUUGAAAGCACCAUCAGAUUCAAAGUGUAGAUCACAAAUUUACUCAACAAGGUUUAAUACCCACAAAAUAUGUUGAAAAAAAUUACAAAGGUUCAUACUAGAACAAAUGGUAAAAGAUUAAAUAUCAAGUUCAAACUUUCAAAAGUACAUGUGUGUAACAAACAACAUUGUUUCAAAACAAUUUUUCUUUUAGUUAAAGUUUGCGGAAGACGAGACACGUGCAACCGAAAUAACAAGAUCUAUUUUACUCUAGUUACAUCUAAACAAUUUAGAAAUUAACAUGCAUAUAGUACCCAAUUAAAUGAAAUUAGGGUUAAAAGUGAACGUACCUUCGUAGCUUCAUAAUUCCUCAAUAUCUCCUCACAAACACAAACUUGGAACCACCACUAGGUUUAUAUGCUAUUCAUCGCACUUAGAAUCGAAUUGUGGGACCCAAUUAUGUGAAGGAAUUAAGAGAAAGAUGGAAAUUGGAGGAAGUUUUUAUUUAGCUUGAGAAUUUGAGAGAGGAAAAAUAAUUUGGUAUAAUUUUUUAAUUAAAAAACACCAAAAUUAGCAAAAGAAUUUAUCUUUUAUAACCUAAUUACAUGCAAAAAUGCAUGUAAUUAGUUUAUAAAAUCUCAACACCUAACAUUCCACUAACUAUUAGUGGAAUUUAGUGAGAUAGGUGUCUACAUCUCAUAUAGCCACUUAUCCAAAUAAGUGUUAGUGCGAUUAUUCAACAAAAUGUUUAAUUUUUCCACUAACUUUAUGGUUUAAGGACAAUACGGUCAUUUGACCAUUUAAAUCAAAGCCAAACUUUUGACUUUUUCAAAUCAAAAGUCAAACUUUGACUUUUUACUAUUUUCUUUGUCUUCACUAAUUCUGACCUCUCGAGUAUGAAUCUGCAUUCAUUUUUUUAAAAUCCAAAUCACAUUUAAAUAGAAAGUUAUUCAAAGUUAAAAGUCAACAUUUUGACUUUUUACAACUUUGACAAUUUCCAUUAAUUCCAACUUCCGAAUAUGAAUCCAUAUUCAUAUUUUUAAUAUUUAAAUCAUAUUUGAAUUCAAAGCUCUAUCUCAAACUGAUAAUCAUUAUGUAUUAUUUUGAGUUGGGAUAAGUUAAAGUGUGAAUAUGUGUUGGGACAAGUUGGUUAAGGAGAUCAAGUUAAAAGUUUAAGUUAAUAUUAUGGUAGAGUAUCUAUUGCAAAUCUAAUAAGUUGAUGUGUUUUAGGUGUCAUGCCGCCAUGACAUAGCAGACAGCUAGGCAGCAGUAGGACAAGACACAAGGCUCUACUGAAAAGCAGUCUGAAUGGGCAUCUAGUACCCCCAGAAGUUAGACUGAGUCAGAAGAAGAAUAAUAUCGUAGAUUUGCCCAAAGAUUUGUUGAGACUUUAGGAACAAGAUCAAAUCCAAGAGAUCGUAAGAAGAAGUAUGGCAUAGAGCAGUUUAAAGCUCUGGGUGCCACGAGCUUUGAAGGAUCAACGAAUCCAACAAAUUUCGAGUUAUGGUUAAAUAUGCUGGAAAAGUGUUUUGAUGUUAUGGGUUGCCAUGAGAAUAGGAAGGUCAAAUUAGCAACAUUUGUAUUAACCAAAGGGGCUGAGGGAAGGUGGAAAUCCAUUGAAUAAGACGUAGUGAUGCAAGUAUUAUGGAUUGGAAAACAUUCAAUAGUAUCUUUGAGGAUAAGUACUACCCUAGUACUUAUUGUGAGGUUAAAAGCGAUGAGUUUCUGAGGUUGAAGCAAGGGUAACUAUCAAUGGCAGAGUAUGAAAGAAAGUAUACUAAGCUUUCUCAAUAUGAUGAGGUAAUAUCCGCGUCGGAGAGCGAUAGAUGUAGACACCUCGAGAGAUGAUUGAAGAAGGAAAUAUGCAGUCCUGUGACUAUUAAAAUUUAAACCCUAAAACUUGUAGAUUGUAAAUAUAAUCCAAAUCGUUAUCAAUAAAGUAUUGUUAUUAUAAUAAAUGUAUUAUUAGUUUUGUCUUAAUCAACCAAAUCAAAUAUACUCUUUAAAAAAAUUGUCCAAAUUUGACUGUCCAAAUUUAAGUGAUUAAAUCUAAACGAUCGUCUUUCAAAAAAUCUUGUAAAAAUUCGUUUAAAUUGAGAUUUGAUGGUUUAGAUUUGGGAAGUCAAAUCUAAACUAUCGUCUACGAAAAAUACCCAAAUCAAAAGAUCAUUUUCCAAAUACUAAACGAUCAUUUUCUAAAUAUAUUAUGUGUGCUAGAUGGCAAUUAAUCGGGAUAUUUUUGGAAUUUUUUAUUGUGAGCCUGUUGGCUUUUUUCGUUUUCAAAAUUGUUCUUGUAAAUAUUUCAUCGCUUUGUUAUAUGUUAGAAAAGAACUAAAUAAUUUCUAGUAUUUUUUUUUUUUGAAAAUCUAAUUCAUAAUAAUCAGUGAACGAGUAUAAUGAAAAAGAAAAAAAUAGUGAAAUGCUAAAAUUAGGAAAGGUACAAAUUUAACUUUCUUCCUUCACCACAAUUUGUUUUCUACAACCCCUAGUUUCUCGCUCAUGUUUUUUUUCACUUCCAGUAUAUAUAGUCUCUCAAUCUACCUCUUCUUCAUCAUCCAUCCCUUCUUUCCCUUUUAUUUUUCUUCAAUAUCAUCACUUACAUUAAUUUAUCAUAAUAAUGGCUUACCAAUCUCUUGCUUUCCUGGCUCUCAUCAUUGUCGCCAUCACUGGUGCUGUUGCUCAAGGUCCUACCUCCUCCACUCCAGCUCCCACGACCUCCUCCACUCCAGCUCCCAUGACCUCCUCUUCCUCUUCUUCAUCUUCACUCGACUCAACCACCACCACCACCACCACGUCCUCCGGUUCCUCUAUCGAUUCUCCAUCAAUCUCAGCGGCUCCAGGAUUAUCACCCGAUUCCUCUGCUCAAUCACCAACGACCGCAACAUCUCCCUCCGGUUCUCCUUCUAUUGAGACUUCUCGCUUGUUUUCAAAUGGUUUUUUUGGCUGAUGGAUUUAUGGAGAAGAGAUUCAAAUCUCAACUUUUUGACUAAUAUUAUUUUAAUCAUUUGAGCUAUGCUCCUCGAGACAAUGUCGUCGUCGAAUCACAAUUUUACUCUUCUUUUUUAUUAAGUUUUAUUCCAAUGUAAUCAAAUAAAUAAAAAGAAAUUUCAUUUGUUACCGUCCAAGUAGCCUUAAUUCCAGCUUUUAGAUCCAGACUUGAUACCCUAGUGUUUGCAAUUUUAAUUUUACACAACAAACGUAACAAACACUUUUGAAACUCAUUAUUAUGCAUAAUUGUAAUCAAAUUUGACCAACAACCUGGUCUAUUUUAACUGUUUUUCUAAUUAUAUAUACAUAGUGUCUCACAUUCUCAAAAUCUUAAUCCCUGAUAUUACUAGCCAAGACUUUGAAGAAGGUGUUAAAAAUGUAACCCUUGUUUAAAAGUCAUGUCAUUAACUAAAAAAAAUAUAUAUUUUUUUGUUACUGUUCCAAAAGCUUUAAAAAUCCCCAUGGGAUUAAUUUAGACAACACUUUUAUCCCUCACAUGAUAGAUAAAGAACUUUCCCAUAUAUAAGAACAUUUUAUUGUCAAAGAAAACAUGAGUUGUCGAGAAUUCAUGAGUUCAAUGCCAAGCACAAGAACAUCGUGAUGACAAAGUGGAGAUCAAUGGAUUUCUUGUAAAAGAAAACACAUGAAUUGUCGAGAAUUCAUGAGUUCAAUACCAAUCACCUCCAAUAUUUGAGAUGAGGGUGUACCUAAUUGAAAUGGAUCAAACUCUCUAAGAAUUAAAUCUGGUGGAUAAGUUGGGAAGAAAAUCUCCUAAAUUUCCAGCUCAAACCAAAAUGGAUACAACCCAAUAUACAUAUUUAUUUUCAACAAACCCAAUUUUUUAGAGAUUUGGUCCAAAAAUUACCAUAAAUCUUAUUUACAAAACUUGUGAUACGAAACUAUGUUUUUUCAAUUAGUUUUAAGAAAAUAAAUAGGAUAUAAAUGUUUAAAAGGACAAAAUGGUUGAAAAUACCAAUAAAUAAUAUUUAUAUAUAGCAAUAUGUUACUAUUUAUUAUUGAUAGACACUCAUAGACAUCUAUAAGUGUACAUCACUUAUUUGAAGACAUCUUUUUCUUUAAAAAUAUGCUCUCUUCAUGCAUGGCAAAAUGACCAACUUAUUUACAAAUAUAGCAAAAUGCUACAAAGUCCAUUUUGUCAUUUUAUAUUUGAAAAUAUUUACGUUAGUUUUAUAAUUUACCUUUAAAUAAUGAGUCAAUUUUUAUAAAUAUAAUAAAUUGGAAAAAUAUUUACGACAUAUGUAACAAAAUAAAAAAACCUAAUAAGUUGGCCAUUUUUUUUAAAAUAUUUCAGGUUUGCCCUUCAUUUUCAUUGUAUUUGGAUGAUGUGACAAAUAUAAAAGAUCGUGAAAAAAAUAGUUGGGAUAUUGGAUAGUCAAAUCUAAACAAUCGUGUAAAAAAAUCUUAAAAAAUCAUUUAGAUUUGACUGUCCAAAAUUAAACAAUCAAAUUUAAGUGUCCAAAAUUAAACAAUCAAAUUUAAGCGAUCGUGUACAAAAAAAGCCAAAUUUAAACGAUUGUGUACCAAAUAAUCUUUAAUAAAAUUGUUUAGAUUAGUCAAAUCUAAACGAUCAUGUACCAAAUCUAAACAACCGUUUUCCAAAAACUCUUGCAAAAAAAUCGUUUAGAUUUAGAAUUGAUUGUUUAGAUUUGGGAAGCAAAAUCUAAAUGAACAAAUCUAAACGAUGUCUUGAAAGAAUAACCAAAUCUAAAAUAUCAUUUUCCAAAUACUAAACCAUCGUUUUCCAAAUAUAUUAGGUGCGUUUGAUGCCAAUUAAUCGGGGAAUUUUUUUUAAUUUUAUAUUGUACGCCUGUGAGCUUUUUCUGUUUCUUAAAUUGUGUUAUACGGUGUAAAUAUUGGUCGCUUUGUUAUAUUUUAGAAAAGAUCCCUAAAUAAUUUCUAGUUUUUAUUUUAUUUUAGUUAAUAUAGUAAUUAGUGAACGAGUAUAAUGAAAACGAAGAAAAAAAAAAUUAGUGAAAUGCGAAAAUUUGGAGAGGUACAAAUUUAGCUUUCUUACUUCACCACAAUUUGUCUUUUUUUUCACUUCAUGUAUAUAUAGUCUCUCAAUCUACCUCUUCUUCGUCAUCGUUCCCUUCUUUCCAUCUUCUUUUUUCUUUUUCAAUAUCAUCUCUUACAUUAAUGGCUUACUAGUCUCUUGCUUUCCUGGCUCUCAUCAUUGUCGCCGUCCCUGGUGCUAUUGCUUAGGGUCUUACCUCCUCCACUCCAGCUCCCAUGACCUCCUUAUUUGAUUCCUCCUAUGCCUCGUCUUCAUCUUCACUCGAUUCAAUCACAAUCACCACGUCCUUAGGUUCCUCUACCGAUUCUCCAGCAAUCUCAGUGGCUACAAGAUUCACACCUGAUUUCUCUCCUCAAUCACCAACGACUGCAACACCUCCAUCUGAUUCUCCUUUUGCUGGGACUUCUUGCUUUUUUCAAAUUGUUUUUUUCGCUGAUGGGUUUAUGGCGAGGAGAUUCAAAUCUCAACUUUUGGUAAAUACUUAAAAACUGUCAAGUAAACUUUCCUUAUUCUUGACACUAGAUUACUUGACACGUUGAAAAGUGUCAAGUAAAUAAAUACUUUACAGACAAAAAACGUUAAGUAUUGCCAGUUUUGUAGUAGUGGUAGGACUGGAAGAAAAAUUUUCAGAUUCUCCAACUCAAACCAAAAUGGAUACAACCGAAAAUACAUAUUUAUUUUCAACAAACCCAAUUUUUUUUAGAAAUUUGGUCAAAAAAUUACCUUAAGUUGAGUUGAUCAUUAUUUACAAAACUUAAAAGAGUGAUACGAAACUAUGUAUUUCCAAUUAGUUUUAAGAAAAUAAAUAGGAUAUAAUUGUUUUAAAUGAUAAAACGAUUGAAAAUACCAAUAAGUAAUAUUUAUAUAUAGAAAAAUUUGACUAUUUAUUAUUGAUACAUUGAUAGACAUCUAUAAGUAUACAUCGUUUAUUUGAAGAUAUCUUAUUCUUAAUUUAAAAUUUUGAUUUCUUUAUGCAUAGCAAAAUGACCAACUUAUUUACAAAUUUCGCAAAUGGUACAAAAUGCAUUUUGUCAUUUUGACAUUUUUAUAUUUGAAAAUAUUUAAGUUAGUUUGAUAAUUUACCUUUAAAUAAUUAGUCAAUUUUUAUACAUGUAAUAAACCGGUGAAAUAUUUAUGGCCUGUUUAACGAAUAAGUUGGCCAUUUUUUUAAAUAUUCUAGGUUUGUUCUUCAUUUUCAUCAUCGUCUUUCUUCUCCUCUUUCUUUCUGCAAUAUUUUUUUCUUCUUUCCAUCGUCUUUUUCUCUUCUUCUACAAUUUUUUUAAAAAAAAUUCAAACCUUUAUUUGGUUGUUUGGAUCGUGUGACAAAUAUAAAAGAUUGUGAAAAAAACAUAGUUGAGAUAUUGGAUAGCAAAAUAUAAACGAUCAUGUAAAAAAAUAGUCAAAUAUAAACGAUCGUGUAUUAAAAAAUCUUUAAAAAAUCUGUCCAAGUUUAAACGAUCAAAUCUAAGCUAGUUCGUGUACAAAAAAUAGUCAAAUUUAAACGUCCGUGUACCAAAUAAUCUUUUAAAAAAUUGUUAGAGAUUUGGCAACCCAAAUUUAAACGAUUGUGUACCAAAUUAUUAUUUAAAAAAUUGUUUAGAUUUAGAUUUGAUAGCUUCCAAAUCUAAACAAUCAUUUUUCAAAUACUAAACUAUUGUUUUCCAAAUAUAUUACGUGUGCUAGAUGCCAAUUAAUUACAUCAUUUUUUGGAAUUUCUCAUUGUAGGCCUAUGAACUUUUUUCAUUUUUCAAAUUGUUCUAUACGGUGUAAAUAUUUUUCCACUUUGAUAUAUUUUAGAAAGGACCCUAAAUAAUUUCUAAGUCUUUUAUUUUAAUUAGUAGUAAUUAGUGAAUGAGUAUAAUGAAAAAAAGAGAGUGAAAUGCUAAAAUUAGGAGAGGUACAAAUUUAGCUUUCUUCCUUCACCACAAUUUGUUUUCUUCAACCCCUAAUUUCUGGCUCACGUUUUUUUUUUAACUUCAAGUAUAUAUAGUCAAUCUACCUCUUCUUCAUCAUCGAUCCCUUCUUUCUAUCUUCUUUUUUCUUCAUUACCAUCUCUUACAUUAAUUUAUCAUAAUAGCUUACCAAUCUCUUGUUUUCUUGGCUCUCAUCAUUGGCGCCGUCACUGGUGUUGUUGCUGAGGGUCCUAUCUCCUCCACUCCAGCUCCCAUGACCCCUCAAUUGAUUCCUCCUCUGCCUUGUCUUCAUCUUCACUCGAUUCAACCACGACCACCACCUCAUGUUCCUCUAUUGGAUUAUAUAAAAUAAUUUGGUUCAAAUUGAUAUUAAUAAUUGGGUUAAAGUUCAAUUGACCAAUCAAGUCCAAACUUACAAAACCUAGGUAAACCUCUUUAAAUAGGAGAGCACUCUUCAUUUAAAGUGUUCAAGCACGCAUUUAAAAGUCGAACUCAAGCGUAUGCAUUUACCAUCAAGAACAAGUUGCAAAAUCCUUGCGAUAGAUUAACGUCGAGAACAUGCAACAAAUCCCUCAAAGUAAGUGAACGUUCAAGAACAAGCGACAAAGUAUCCAAGACAAGUUUAGUUUCAUGAGAGAACAAAAAAUGAUCGUUUAUUAGAGAUUGUAUUUACAAAUUAAUACAAAUACAAUGCUUAUUUUCAACAAACCCAAGUUUUGUUUAGAAAUCUCAUCCAAAAUUAUCAUAAGUUAAGUUGAUCAUUAUUUACGAAACUUGAAAGAGUGAUAUGAAACUAUGUAUUUGCAAUUAGUUUGAAACAAAUAAAUAGGAUAAUUGUUUUAAAUGAUAAAAUUGUUGAAAAUAUCAAUAAAUUAUAUUAAUAUAUAGCAAAAAUUUACUAUUUAUUAGAUAGACACCAAUAAACAUUUACAUUUAUAAGUGGACAUCGUUUAUUUGAAGAUAUCUUUUUCCUAAAAAAUAUGCUCUCUUCAUGCAUAGAAAAACGACCAACUCAUUUACAAAUAUAGCAAAAUGGUACAGUAGUUUUAUAUUUGAAAAUAUUUACAAUAGUUUUCUCAUUUACGUUUAAAUAAAUUUCUAGUCUUUUGUUUUUCUUUGAAAUUUUAAUUAAUAGUAAUAAGUGAACAAGUAUAGUGAAAACCAAAAAAAUAGUGAAAUGCUAAAAUUAGGAGAGGUCCAAAUUUAGGUUUCUUCUUUCACCACAAUUUGUUUUCUUCAACCCCUAAUUUUCUCGCUCAUGUUUUUUUUUUUCAAAGUAUAUAUAGUCUCUCAAUCUACCUUUUUCUUCUUCAUCAAUCCCUUCUUUCUAUCUUCUUUUUCUUCAAUAUCAUCUCUUACAUUAAUUUAUCAUAAUGGCUUACCAAUCUCUUGCUUUCUUGGCUCUCAUCAUUGUCGCUGUCACUGGUGUUGUUGCUCAGGGUCCUACCUCCUCCACUCCAGCUCCCACCACCUCCUCCACUCCAGCUCCCACCACCUCCUCAUUUGAUUCCUCCACUCCCUCGUCUUCAUCUUCACUUGAUUCAACCACCACCACCACCACGACCACCACCUCCUCCUCCUCAGGUUCCUCUGCUGAUUCCCCAUCAAUCUCAGUGGCUCCUGGAUUGGCACCCGAUUCCUAUGCUCAAUCACCAACGACCGCAGCAUCUCCCACCGGUUCUUCUGCUGAGACUUCUCGCUUCUUUACAAAUGGGUUUUUUGGUUGACAGAUUUAUGGAGAGGAGAUUCAAAUCUCCAACUUUUGAUAGAGUACACUAAUAUUAUUUUAAUCAUUUGAGCUAUGCUCCUCGUGGCAAUGUCGUCGUCGAGUCACAAUUUUACUUUUCUCUUUUAUUAAGUUUCGUUCCAAUCUAAUGAAAUAAAAACGAAUGAGAAUUAUUUUGAUAUAAUUGAAAUUGUUAAAAAUCGAUCCAAAUCUAGUGUGAUAAAAUUAGGGAUUUUAUAUGAUUAUUGUACCCAUAUAUAUAUUUUUUUUUUGCAAAA